rnacentral:rRNA from 1 species
GAUGAACGCUGGCGGCGUGCCUAAUACAUGCAAGUCGAGCGAACGGACGAGAAGCUUGCUUCUCUGAUGUUAGCGGCGGACGGGUGAGUAACACGUGGAUAACCUACCUAUAAGACUGGGAUAACUUCGGGAAACCGGAGCUAAUACCGGAUAAUAUUUUGAACCGCAUGGUUCAAAAGUGAAAGACGGUCUUGCUGUCACUUAUAGAUGGAUCCGCGCUGCAUUAGCUAGUUGGUAAGGUAACGGCUUACCAAGGCAACGAUGCAUAGCCGACCUGAGAGGGUGGUCGGCCACACGGGAACGGAGACACGGUCCAGACUCCAGCGGAGGGCAGAGGAGGGGACUCUUCCGAAAGGGGGGAAAGCCGGACGGAGCAGCGCGGCGGGAGUGAUGAAGGUCUUCGGAUCGGAAAACUCUGUAAUGGGGAAAAAACAUAUGUGUAAGAAAGGGUGCACAUCUUGACGGUACCAAAUAAAAAAGCCACGGCUAACUCCGUG